UUGAUUUGCCAUAUCACCCUGCAGCCCAAGGCUUGUGGUUGCCCACUGAAGCUAAGCAGGGUUGAGCCUGGUCAGUACCUGGAUGGAAGACCUCCUGGGGAAACUAGGUUGCUGCUGGAA
rnacentral:rRNA from 1 species